GUGGGGGGGGAGGGAAGGGGCACCGCGGCCGCGCAGUCACGGCGACCCCGCACCCGCGGGGACAGCGCGGAGAGGGACGCGGGACACGCGGGGACAGCGCGGGCGACGCGGGGACAGCCGCGCCGCGCGGGGACAGCGCUGCGGGGGAUGCGGACGCGGCCGGGCGCGGCGGGGAUGAUGCGGGGCGGUGCGGGAGGGGUGCGGGUUGAUGGCAGCGCAUCGCCCGGCAAAUGGUGCCCGGAGCGGCGGCGGGGGGGAGCCCGCCCGGGGAGCCGCGGGGCUAAAAUUAGCCAAGUGCAGAGAGUUUAGGGGAAACAACAAUGAAAAAGUGCAUCGGGGGCAGCGGGUUCCCGGUGUCCGGGGCGGUCCGGGAGCGCCUGGAACGGGAUUUCUUCAGCGCGGACAGGCGCUCCCUGCCAGGGCCGGUGCCGCCGGCCGCUGCCGAGGGGAGAAGGAUCGCACGGAGGUUGGAAAAUCAGAUCCCAGCCCCGCGCAGGAUAGCCAUAGAAACGGAGAUUAAAAGGAUGAAAUAACUUAUUUUGUUCUAAACAAUGAUGCUGCUAUAAAUACGAACAUUUUCCUUGUUCCCUUCCUGAAAAGCACAGAACAUUUUAGCAGGCUCGUCUCCUAACAAAACAAACCAGCCUGCAGAUGCCUUGCACCCCUCGAAAUUAUUCCGUUUUUACUGGGAAAUGGGUAAACCCACGGUCUGUACCUGUCCCCUCUGGAAUCAAUAAGCUGCACAAUAUUUUUCCAAAUACAGCUACUUUCGCUGUUUUGCACUUCAUCUGUAAAAGGAAAAUAUCUCUUCCCCCCCCAAGUGAGCGAUUGUAGAUUUUUUCUCAAAUUGUAUUUGAUCACCGAGUGAAUUUAGUGCUCGCUCAAGUCCGUGGGCUGACUGCUUGGAAAUGGCUCUGCCUGUCUUUGGAGAAGUUAGGCAGAGACAGCAGCAGAGCAAUUGCCACAGAUUAUUUCCCAAUCUGCUGCUGGCCUCCUUUGGAAGAGCACCAUCAUUUCAGCCUCCAUUUCCACUUUUUGCUGAGGCUGCUGCUUACAAAGAUACUAAUUGCGAUGGCGGGUUUUAUGUUAAUGGGUUCCACGUAAUGAUCAGCCCGACGACUACAGACCUUCAGACUGUUGGUUGGCUGUGCUGGGAAUAAAACUAAUGGCAUUUGGUUAUGAAAAUUCAGACCUCUACAUGGUGAUCUAAACUGGGGGCCCAAUGAGACCGAAAUCCAAGUCUCCAUGCGACUGCCGUGGGGCUGGACCCAGGGAUGCCCUUGGAGAAGGAAAAUUCCUUCUCCCCCAGAACUGCUAUGCUUUGAGGGAGGGUAGUUUCUUGCUGGGAUGAUGCUGGGAGAGGAUUGGGGUGCCUGGCUGGGGUCCCCCCUGGUCUGGGGAGAGGGUGUGGGGUGCUCAGAGCGACAGCCGGGGAUGGAGCAGGGAUGGAGCUGCACGAGCCUCCAAAUUCUGACUAACGCCGUAACCGGUUUGGUAGCUCUAAAAUAGGAUUUUAAUCCUGGGAAGCAUCAUUUCACAUUCCAGUGAUCUAAUCAAAAUCCUUUCCUCUAAUCUCUCCAUGGUCCCCCCUUUCUAGAUGAAAGAGGCUGGAGUUCCUGUCUUCACCCUUUCUCCGCUGCCUCCCUGUUCUACCAGUCUGUUCUGUGUCCAGGCAACUGCAAAAAGACAUUUCAAAGGCUCCUGCCGUGCCAUGUAGAUGUUUUCUCUUGUUAGUUUGGACUGCAGGAUCAAGUCCCUCGUUUGCCAUUUUGUGUGGCAGCAAGCCCAAGGAAAUCUUGCUUGACAGCUCUGUUUUCUCAAAGUGCUGCAUUUCUUCGGGCUGGAUUCUGCAAAGAUCCUGCAGGCUACAGAGCUCCUUGGAGCAAGCCAUAAUGUGCUUUGUGUCCCUGCUGAAAUGUACCUGUGUACAGUGGGAGAGGGAGCUUGGAAAACUGGGUGCACCCUGCCAAGAAGAUGGUUAGAAUAAAGUUUUCUUGGGUUAUUAUGUUUUGAGGAAUCAUUCUCAUCUGUUCGUUUGAGGAAGGUUUUCCUAAAGUUAGAUUUGAUCUGUGUAAAUGCUAACUUCUUUCAAUGGGCACUAAUAGAGUACUGAAAAAAAGAAGCACAGUGGAUUUGAAGUUUAAAUCUCAAAUGGUGGCAGCAGCUAGUACUGCUUCGUACAUCCAAAAUAAUUUUUUAAGUAUGUUGUACAGAUUUCUUUUGGGGAAUUGGGUGAAAAUUACAUUAAAAUUUGUUGCCUCUUAAUGUUGUAAGAUCUCACUGAUACAGCUCUUUAAUGAACAUAUUUGCACUUUGGACCAUCACAGAAAAUUGUGAUUCUUCAUGUCAUCAUCUGGAAUACUGAGGAAAAUGGAUCUUUAUUCCAAAGGUCCCAAACUGGUUGGGAGCAGUUCCUUGGCACAGCUGCUCCCCUGGGCAUCAGUCUGCAUUCCUGAGGCUGUUUUGGACAAUGAGUCCAGUAUUGAUCACUGGACUUGGGCUUCUCUUUGCCUUAAUGAACUUGGUUGAUUUUCUUGGCCAGGACACUGAAAGAUGAGGUGCUGCUUCUCCCACCACCUGCAACUUUUGGAUCUCUUCUCCAAGAAUUCUUGUGGGUUUUUCCUUCCAUUUUCAUGUAAACGGACUCUCAAAUUUCUAUCAGUGCCCCUGAAAGAGUUCCUCAAGAGCCUUCUCUGUACCCUGUCUGCUCCUUGUCCAGCCCCUUCCCUCCUCACUUCAUGGCUCUCAUCUUUGCAUUUUAUUCAGCUAAUUCUUGUCCCUGGCUGCCUGUGCCCACUGGAAAGGAACUCCUCAUUCCAAAAUCCCAGCCCUCUCCACUGUGGAAGUGCCCUUCUGUUCACCUUAAACUGGAUUUGGGAUAUCCUUUACUGCUCUGUGCCAUUGCACAGCAAGAUUCCACAGGAAUGGCAGGAAACAGAGACAGCCAAACAGAUAAUUUAUGUUCCUGGGAGAUUUAGUCCAAAUUAAGAUCAAAACUCAUAUAUGUCUUCCAAAUCACAGAGUAUUUGUCCCCAAUUAUUGUCAAUGACUCUAAUUCUGCUUGAUUUAUAUCUCUGGUAGUAGCCAGAGGUUUUGCAGCACAUAAAUUGCCUGAGGGUUUUGCCAGUGAUGUGGACACUGUGACAUGUAGAAGCUCAGGAAAGCCCCUGAGCAGAAAAUGGUUGGAAACAGGUAAAAUAUCAGGGAGAAGUAUCCCCCAUGUCUGCACACAAUUACCUGGGUGUCCAGCUGUGGUCACUCAGCUGGAUGGACCCUUGUUUUCUCAACCUACAUGGCAAUUCCCACAUUCUUUGAUAAACUGGGAAAGUUCUAGCAGAAAUCAUAUAGAUGGCAGCACACAUGAUCCAAGCACAAACCCCUGUGAUUUCUGUGAGCACUGCACAGCCACAGAUACACUCUGGCAGGUGGAAGAGAAGAAAGCAAUCCUCACAGAGGGCAGGGAAAGCAGCCACAAUUUAAAGCAAAGUAAAUUUGUGUGGUGUGGUUGCUUGCUGGUUAACUCUGGAGAGAUUUAUGAAGAUCCAGCAUAACCCACAACAGAUCUUCCUUGAGGAUUUGUGGGUUAAGCCACACCAACACAAACAUGGGAUGGCACUGCAUGUGCAGCAGGAGUUACUGAAGACCCCAAAAGAGCUCCCACAAUAUUUCUCUCAAAUAGCUGUUUUCUCACUGAAUGUUCUCACUGAGUCCAGAUGCAUGGUGGUAUUUUGGCCAACAUCUGGAACAGCAAAAAGAAUUAGAGGAGGAAAGGAUCUAUUGGGUUAUGCAUUCCCUGGAGCCAGGGUGAGUAAAUUGGAUACUGAAUUUCUCUCAGGGUAUGGUUCACCCUGGUUUUAAUCCUUGCCUUCUCAUCCUAUAUCCCAUGUACAGGAUGGUACCAGGAUUUUGUUGGAUGGGAGGCACAUCCAGUCUUUUCUGGCCUCAUCCUCCAUGCAGCACUCUACUCUCAGACUUAGGCUGGUCUUGAAUAGGGAAUUUAUCUUUUCUACCCUCUGAAGCAAUCAGCAGACAAGUUAGUAGGUUACGUUCCCAGGAAAAAUUCCCACCUUUUUUCUCACUUGAAAACUUCCAUGUUUUUUUACCUUUUACUGGUUUCUCUUAGUGGUUUGGGGGUUGGGUUUUGCACAUCUUUUUUUUUUUUUUUUUUUUUUUUUUUUUUUUUUUUUUGUGGUAUUUAACUUUUGCUAUUCCUAUCAUGAACCCUCACCCACUUCAUGCAGCCACUUCCUCACUUCAGGUUCUUGCUGUUCCCCUCUCCCUCCCUGCUCUGGUCCAUUUUGACUGUGCUUUCUCUUCCAGUAACCCUGUCCCAGCCAGGUAUUUCUCCCAGUUUGUGCUGAAUCUUCAGCUCCAAUAUUCUACAUAUUACUUUAGAAUAAGGAUCUGAAGCCUCCAUUAUUAGUUUAAAUGCCUUUUUGUGUUCCGAACCUCACCUGGGUCAUUCUCUUUGUUUGUGCCUCUCUCCCAGUGGCAGCAGAGCUGGUUUAGUGCUGGGGACAGCAGCUGUGGCUGGCUGCUGGCACAGGGCUCUUCGUGACAUGAAAGGACUCCCUGCAUCCUCCCUCAGUUUCUCCAUUCUGCACAGACCAGUGGGCACUGCGAGAUCAAAAUCUCGUGGUGGCUGUGGGGCACCUCAAGGGUUGCUGGGCAAAGGAGGAGGAGGAGGAAAAGUACAAAUAAAGCAGCUCAGAGCUGCUCCCUCACCUCCAGUUCCCCUUUCCUUUCUUUCCACAGAAGUGGCUGAGUGCAGAGCUGAGCUACCCCGGCAAAGGAAAGAGAAGAAAGGUUUUUCUUUCACUUUCCAAACACAAAUACUUCACGUGGGACUUGAGAAGGGAACAUCCUUUUGCUCCUCUCCUCCAGCUGGGCUUUCUGGUCCCAUUGUCCCCCCACGGUGGUCAUGCCCCUCGGUCCCCCAUGUGCACCUGAAUUGUGAUCUGUGGUGGUUUGGGUGUCUGAGGUCCUCCAAUAAUGAGGGUGAGGUUUCAUUUGGGGAAGCACAUCUUUUCUUAGAAAUGUGAACACUGUGACUGACUUAGCACAACUGUGAUUUUCUGCAAACACAACUGUGUUUGGGGUGGUUGCAUGCGAAUGCUGGGGAAGGAGAAACAGUAAUUCUGAAUUAAUGCACAAAGGGAGAAAAUAGACACCCUUAGAGGAAGCCCUGAGUUCACUGCAGCUGCCAUACACUGGCAAAACUGAUGCUGUGUCCCAGGGGAAGCAUUUCAGUGUGGAGAACCUCGUGUUUGAAGAGAGCAUACCUGUGCCUGUUGUGACACACGAGUGAGCCAAAGUGCUUGGGGGAGCACAUCAAUCCAUUCUUUCUUUAGUAACAUGUAUGCAAUAAAUUGGGUUUUUUCCCCCCUGGUGUUGCAUCAUUUCCUAUUUGGUGUCCAGAUGGUGACAGAUUACCAAACAGGGGGGAAAAAAAAAUCCAUGUAAUAUUUUGUAUCUAAACAUUACCUUCUUCUUUAGAAUAAAGAGAUCCAGUUUUAUUCUGGCCAUGAUUCUCCACAUUUAUGUGCUGGCCCUUGUCUGCAUCUGCUUGGCAUUAUCCUGGAUUGGGGCUUUAACCUGCUAUGAAUCCAGAGAAAUUAUACAGAAUUGAUGGGAUCAGUGUGAAUUUCCAGGGGUGUAGGCUAGUGCAGACUACAUCCUAUUAAUCUUGUUGUGUUCUUUCUGUAAAUAACAAGCUGGAUUCAGCCCAACAAGAGUAAAACAAAUUGGAAGCAUUCAUAAAGAGAAGUAAAUGACUUUAAGAUGUAAGAAUAAUGUAUUGGUGGGUUGUGUCCAAGAAUCCAGUUUUUAAAGGUACCAAAGCACACACAAAACUUUAGUUUAAUUUGUUCUUAAGUGGCUGCUGUGUGGGGCUGGCUGCUGAAGCAGGGCCAUGGGCAUAAGACCUGCUUUCAUGAAAGGAUUAUAUAAAAAAGCAAAAACUGCAAGAAGGAGAAAAAUGUUCAAGGGCAGCCAACCUGGAGGAAACAAAUAUAAUUUAGUUGUGUGAAGUGUUUAUAAAUGCAGUUUAUGAACAUGUAUGAAGGAGUAAUUUUUUACUUUUCAGAGUGCAAUUGUAACAGAAAAGAAACAGUUGCUUAUGUCCUUUUCAGGGAUUUUUAGAGAAUAAUUUGCAGUGUAGUAUUUUGACCUGCUUUUUCCUGUUUAACAGCUUGUUAUUCUGUUGGUUAUUUCAGAUUAGCUUUUUGUGAGUGCUCUUCUUUAUUUGUGAUUGAUAGGAAAAUAUUUACAUGGUUUAUCUAAAACUGGAAAUUGAUUUUAAAUUUUGUUCAAAGUUUCAGACUUCUACAUGCAUGGGCUACCAAAUUUGAUCUACCAGUCUCACUCCUUGGUUCUCUUGCAUCAUCAGAAUAAAUGUCAAAUGACACAGAAUGCCUGGAAUUGCAAUAAUGCAGUGAAACAGAUCUGACUAUCAAGCUUCAUAUAUAGAUUAGAUUAAUGCAUAAAUCUAAUUUGAUAUUUUACAUUACUGGCCUAAUAUUUUACAGAUGUAAUGCCAAGUUGUUAAGUAAACGAAAAUCACAGAGAGUCCAAUUCUGAAAGGAUUACUCAGGCAAAAAUCCCUGCAGUCAGAGGGAGUAUUGCCUAAACGAAGUCUGCAAAAUUAGAACUAGAGCCAUAUUCCCCAAACAGACAAGCAGAUUUAUCUGUGAGAUCUGCCCAGGAGUUGAAUUCUUGUAACAAUGAAAGAUAUAUAGGGAAAACGAGCAAGUAGGUAACCUGAAAUAUAAGGAGAGACUGAUAAGAUCUGAGCAAGCACUUGUGUGGUUGGUGAUGUCAACAGGAGCCCAAGCUGUUUUAAUAAACUUGUUCAUAGUUGUCCUAUAGUGUGUUUUAUAUCCUGAAGUACAUAGAUCAUGUAAGAGUUUAACAAGAAGAGGAUUCAUAUUAAAUAUGCACAUAAAAUACCUCCAUGAAAUAUGUGAAAUACUUUUCGUUUUUUAUAUGAUUCCAAUAAAACAUCUAUCACAAAA